GGAGUUGUGGUUCAGUGGUAGAGCACUUGCCUAUCAUGUGUGAGGUGCUGGGUUUGAUUCCCAGCACCUCAU
rnacentral:tRNA from 1 species